rnacentral:rRNA from 1 species
UACCCGCAGCCCAAGUGGUGUUCGUUAUUAUUGAGCCUAAAACGUCCGUAGCCGGAUCAGUAAAUUCUUGGGUAAAUCGAACGGCUUAACCGUUCGAAUUCCGAGAAGACUGCUGGUCUUGGGACUGGGGGAGGCUAGAGGUACUCCCGGGGUAGGGGUGAAAUCCUGUAAUCCUGGGGGGACCACCAGUGGCGAAGGCGUCUAGCUAGAACAGCUCCGACGGUAAGGGACGAAGCCCUGGGGCA